rnacentral:rRNA from 1 species
CGGGCCCCCCAGGUUCUGCAUGUGCGCGAGUCAUUGGGACUCCGUUAAACCUAAAGGCGCAAUGAAAGUAAAGGUCCGCCUCGCGCGGACCGAGGGAGGAUGGGCCCGUCCACGGGCGGGCCCCGCACUCCCGGGGCGUCUCGUUCUCAUCGCGAGAAGAGGCGCACCCAGAGCGUACACGCUGGGACCCGAAAGAUGGUGAACUAUGCCUGGUCAGGACGAAGUCAGGGGAAACCCUGAUGGAGGUCCGUAGCGAUUCUGACGUGCAAAUCGAUCGUCGGAACUGGGUAUAGGGGCGAAAGACUAAUCGAACCUUCUAGUAGCUGGUUCCCUCCGAAGUUUCCCUCAGGAUAGCUGGCGCUCGCCUUUGCGAGUCUCAUUCGGUAAAGCGAAUGAUUAGAGGCAUUGGGGUCGAAACGGCCUCAACCUAUUCUCAAACUUUAAAUGGGUGAGAUCUCCGGCUUGCUUGAAGCGUGAAGCCGCGAGAGAUCGGAUCACAGAGUGCCAAGUGGGCCACUUUUGGUAAGCAGAACUGGCGCUGUGGGAUGAACCAAACGCCGAGUUAAAGCGCCCAAAUCGACGCUUAUGGGAUACCAUGAAAGGCGUUGGUAACUUAAAGCCC